rnacentral:rRNA from 1 species
GAUGAACGCUGGCGGCGUGCCUAAUACAUGCAAGUCGAGCGAACGGACGAGAAGCUUGCUUCUCUGAUGUUAGCGGCGGACGGGUGAGUAACACGUGGAUAACCUACCUAUAAGACUGGGAUAACUUCGGGAAACCGGAGCUAAUACCGGAUAAUAUUUUGAACCGCAUGGUUCAAAAGUGAAAGACGGUCCUGCUGUCACUUAUAGAUGGAUCCGCGCUGCAUUAGCUAGUUGGUAAGGUAACGGCUUACCAAGGCAACGAUGCAUAGCCGACCUGAGAGGGUGAUCGGCCACACUGGAACUGAGACACGGUCCAGACUCCUACGGGAGGCAGCAGUAGGGAAUCUUCCGCAAUGGGCGAAAGCCUGACGGAGCAACGCCGCGUGAGUGAUGAAGGUCUUCGGAUCGUAAAACUCUGUUAUUAGGGAAGAACAUAUGUGUAAGUAACUGUGCACAUCUUGACGGUACCUAAUCAGAAAGCCACGGCUAGCUACGUG